AAUCAACGCUGGCGGCGUGCCUCAGACAUGCAAGUCGAACGCGAAAGGUUCCUUCGGGAACCGAGUAGAGUGGCGCACGGGUGAGUAACACGUAGGUAAUUCGCCUUUGGGUGGGGAAUAACAGCCGGAAACGGCUGCUAAUACCGCAUAAUGCAGCGGCCCGACAUCGAGACAGUUGUUAAAGCGGGGGAUCGCAAGACCUCGCGCCUAAAGAGAAGCCUGCGGCAGAUUAGCUAGUUGGUAGGGUAAUGGCCUACCAAGGCGACGAUCUGUAACCGGCCUGAGAGGGCGGUCGGUCACACUGACACUGACAUACGGGUCAGACUCCUACGGGAGGCAGCAGUCGGGAAUUUUGGGCAAUGGGCGAAAGCCUGACCCAGCAACGCCGCGUGAAGGAUGAAAUCCCUCGGGAUGUAAACUUCGCAAGAAUGGGAAGAAUAAGUGUGGGCUAAUACCCUCAUGAUGACGGUACCAUUUGUAAGCUCC
rnacentral:rRNA from 1 species